UUCCAUCUCAUUUUAUGGUUCAGGAAGCCAAAGCCUGCAAUAAAGAAUGACAUGCCCAGUGGCUUCUGAUUUACUAACAUGGUCAUGAAUAUUGGUGCAGAACUUGGCUUGGAAGCUUCUAUGUCGCCCCAGAGGAGGUUUGAGGAAAUCCUUCAAAAUGUUUUCUGCUUGUGGAAAGGAACGUGAAAAUGGAUGGUAGGAGGGAGGAGAGAAGGAAAAAAAAAAAAAAAAGGAAGAAAGUUGACCUCUUGUCCUCCCGGGACUUUCUGUUCCGCACUUCACCUGCUCGGCUUUCUCCAUGGCUCCAUUCGCAAACCAGCUCUCUGUAUCUCCCACCGCCAUGAAGGCCCGCUGACACGGGUUUGCAUUUUGAAAACCCUCGCGCGCCCGCCCGAGCUGGGCAUGCUCAAACGCCCAGGACUGGUUUUUUUUCGGUUUCCAACUUUGGCAGCUCUCCCACCCGCACCCCAAGGGGCAGGUCCGCACACAUCCCUGGGUGUGAGUAAAUGGGAAGAAAUUAU
rnacentral:lncRNA from 1 species